UACGAAGGGGCUAGCGUUGCUCGGAAUUACUGGGCGUAAAGCGCACGUAGGCGGAUUGUUAAGUCGGGGUGAAAUCCUGGAGCUCAACUCCAGAACUGCCUUCGAUACUGGCGAUCUCGAGUUCGGGAGAGGUGAGUGGAACUGCGAGUGUAGAGGUGAAAUUCGUAGAUAUUCGCAAGAACACCAGUGGCGAAGGCGGCUCACUGGCCCGAUACUGACGCUGAGGUGCGAAAGCGUGGG
rnacentral:rRNA from 1 species